AUGGAGUGUGUUGAAUCCUUGGCCGUAUCCAUGCCGCAAUCAGUAAAAGGGAGUCACGCUGUGUUGUGAGCACUGCAGAGCCAGCAUUCGUGAGUCGAUAGUGAUACAUAUAGAUUGCUUGCUUCCUUUUAUUGAUUGUGGUAUAGAUGCGCUUGAGUGAUACCUUGUGUAAC
rnacentral:pre_miRNA from 1 species